rnacentral:rRNA from 1 species
UACGUAGGGGGCAAGCGUUGUCCGGAUUUAUUGGGCGUAAAGAGCGUGUAGGCGGUCAGGUAGGUCCGUUGUGAAAACUCGAGGCUCAACCUCGAGACGCCGAUGGAAACCAUCUGACUAGAGUCCGGAAGAGGAGAGUGGAAUUCCUGGUGUAGCGGUGAAAUGCGCAGAUAUCAGGAGGAACACCGGUGGCGAAGGCGGGUCUCUGGGCCGAUACUGACGCUGAGGAGCGAAAGCUAGGGGAGCAAACAGG